rnacentral:rRNA from 1 species
UACGAAGGGAGCGAGCGUUGUUCGGAAUUACUGGGCGUAAAGGGCGCGUAGGCGGCCGAUCAAGUCAGAUGUGAAAGUCCUGGGCUUAACCUGGGGACUGCAUUUGAUACUGAUUGGCUUGAAUUCGGGAGAGGAUAGCGGAAUUCCCAGUGUAGAGGUGAAAUUCGUAGAUAUUGGGAAGAACACCGGUGGCGAAGGCGGCUAUCUGGACCGACAUUGACGCUGAUGCGCGAAAGCGUGGGGAGCAAACAGG